CUAUUCGAUAUGGACCACUGCCUCAGUUCUGUGGACCUUUCGGGCCUCGGCCAAUUCCUCCACCCUUUGGCCCUGGUAUGCGUCCACCACUAGGCUUAAGAGAAUUUUCAGCAGGAAGAUGGGACCUGCCACUCCGCCCUCAGGAAUUUUUACCAGGACAUGCACCAUUUAUACCUUUAGGUCCUCUUGGCCCAAGAGAGUACGUUAUUCCUGGUACCCAAUUACCAUCCCCAACCCAUAUUCCCAAAGAUUAACCACCACUACCUGCCACAAGAGACUUACUGCCAACAUGCUCUAGAGAUGAGCCUUCUCCUGCCUCUCAGAGCACUAGUCAGGACUGUUCACCGGCUUUAAAGCAGAGCUCAUAACUAUGACCUCUGAUGUUUCAUUGGAGAAAAAAUGGACUGUACAUUAUUCAUUACAGUAAAGGAUUUCAUUGGCUUCAAAAUCCAAGUUUAUUUUAAAAGAUCUGUUGUUAGAACUAAGCUUCCUUGGCAGUAUGCAUUUUUGAGCCAAACAAUUCAGAAAUGUCAUUUCUUCCCUAAAUAAAAAUCACCUUUUAAGCUAUAGCAUCCUUACUACUUUGAAAUGUGCAAUAAAGAACACUUGUGUUUUAGCUAA